rnacentral:rRNA from 1 species
GGGCCCGCACAAGCGGUGGAGCAUGUGGUUUAAUUCGAUGCAACGCGAAGAACCUUACCUGGGUUUGACAUGUACGGGACAGCUUUGGAAACAAGGUUUCUCUUCGGAGUCCGUAUACAGGUGCUGCAUGGCUGUCGUCAGCUCGUGUCGUGAGAUGUUGGUUAAGUCCCGCAACGAGCGCAACCCCUACUUCUAGUUGCCAUCAGGUUAAGCUGGGCACUCUAGUAGGACUGCCUGUGAUAAGCAGGAGGAAGGUUGGGAUGACGUCAAGUCCUCAUGGCCCUUACGUGUUGGGCUACACACGUGCUACAAUGUCAGUGACAAUGAGAUGCUAAGUUGCGAAACCAAGCG